AACUAAAUCCGGUCUAAUCCGGUGAACAACGAUAUGCGGUUUUUGGUUUUUCGUGUGUCGGUCCAUCGAAUAUUUUUCAAGUGCAGAAAAUCUGCGAGACGUUGGUGCCGGUCGAGGAAAAAAGGCAGGCAAUGUUCCGCUGCGAGACAAAACGGACGUAAGGAUAAUUUUCAUCUUCAUGCAGGAGCUAAUUCGUCAACCGGCCAUCGACUGGAAUGUUCCAAUAUGAGCCUCAAGACAAGUAGGUCAAUCAACUGCAUAAUCUGUCGCCAAUCGACGGCCAAAUAAUUCCGUUAUUGAAAAAAAAAACUCCAUUCGCUCCCAUCGGAUCCUCCUAACACCAGAACAAUAUGGCUAAUUUUUCACCAAAGCGCUAGGUCUUCUGAUUUGAAGAAGAAGCAAGGCCCCUUCGUUCCAGGAAUGCUUCAGUCGCACGCGCACCAUCGCGCCCAAACAAACACCUUACUGCAUCUGAUAUCUUCUCGUUUGUCUCCGGAUUUUUGUUCGGCCAACUUUAUGCGGAACAAAAUUUACUUCGUUUUAAAGAGCAUAAUCUUUUCUGGAAUCCGAAUUAAACGUUUUGUAGUAAUCCAUUCGGUUUUGUAGCCCACCUUUAGGCGUUAAAUAUCAUGGGAAUUCUUGAUGUUUAGUUGGUUAUGCUGACGCUGACUAUGCAUAGCAAUAUGAAAGAGCUCUUUUUUCUUAUGUCAUGGAAUUGUUCUUCGCAUUUUGGCUGCUGGAACAUCCUGAAGCAUCAGAAUGUUAUAAGGUACACCGGGGUAAGUUCAAACAUGGGGUAAGUGCAACAAGGCUGGAUUUCUCCCUCUUCAGGUAUAAUCUAAUAAUAUAUUUUAUUCUAAAAUUGAUUUUUUGAGGGUCAAGAAACAUUUGCAGAAAGUAAAUAUAUUUCUAUGUUUGCUUCUUGUGAGAGAAACCCGCCCUUCAUUGCAGUUUCCCCUGUUCUCACUUGCCCCGGUGGACCUUAUAUAAAAAUAGGGAAGGGACAAUACGAAUACAGAAUAAAAUCGAAUAUAUUUUGUUAAACGUUGGAAUUAAAUCGAUUCGGAUCAAAUAUCGGAAUACCUCCUAGUUUUUAUA